GUGACGGCGACGGCCACAUCGAAGGGCUAUGCGUCAGCGCCAUAGCAUACGCCGGCGUUUGACGCAGAAGUAUAAAUCAGCCUUAAGUCAAGAACCAAAUGAAGCACCAGAGUACAGAUUAUGGAGGUAUCUGAAGUUGAACUAACUGGAAGCAGGGAACCAUACUAAUAAAGUUCCUUAAGCAGUUUCCUUGUAAAGAUGAACCCAGGGAAGGAUCGAAAGUGGAGAAGACCAGAUCAAGAAAGACUACAUCAAGAUCUGCGGUCAGUUCAAAGGAUGUUUUGCAUUGGACUGUUUUUUUUGGCUUUGACCCUUGCUUGCCCCUGACCUCACUCUUGGACUGCCCUGUUGGAUUUUCAGUUUAUUUAAUUUAAAAAAAAAAAUUUGGUUCUGGGUAGAUGCUAAUAAAUAUUUAAUUGUAAUUAUUUAAUGUAAAUCAAAGGCGGCAACACCAAGGCUCCAAAAAUACAAAUUUAUUAAAUUAAAAAGGCUGACACAGAGCGUGUAACGUUUCGAGCCGCCGGCUCUUCAUCAGACAAAUUCUUUUUCGUUGUAAUUUUUUAAAUAAUAUGUUUUUGUUAAAUAUUCGAUUUCUGUGUUUGUUCUGUCUACUCGUACUUGUUUAUCUUGUCUCUGUAAUUAUCAUUUGUUAAUUUAAUUAAUAUGCAUUUUAUAAAAAAAAUAUAUAUAUAUAUUUUCUGUGUUUUUUUUUUCUGUAUCUAUUUAUCUAAUUUGUAUAUACAUUUGUGUUUGUAUGUUUUUCUUAUUCUGUAUAUCCACUUACCUAAUUUUAACUUUUAUAUUUAUUUAUUUGCAUUUAAUUUGUGAUAAUUCUGUAUGCAUUUAUUUAUCUAAUUCAUAUAUUUAUAUGUAUUGCAUUGAUCAAUCUGUUGUUGUUUUUUUUGUAUGCAUCUAUUAAUAUAAUUUAUAUAAAUUCUAUAUUUGUAUUUAUCAAUUUAUAUGCUUCCUUUAAAGCAAUUUUUUAAAUAAAGCAAUUUAAACUAAG
ensembl:processed_transcript